rnacentral:tRNA from 1 species
CCGUCCCGGGCGCGGCGGCCCGCCACUCCGGCUCCGUCCCGGGCGCGGCGGCCCGCCACUCCGGUUCCGUUCCGGACGCGGCGGCCC